rnacentral:rRNA from 1 species
UGCCUUAGUAACUGCGAGUGAAGCGGCAAAAGCUCAAAUUUGAAAUCUGGCGUCUUCGACGUCCGAGUUGUAAUUUGGAGGGGCAUCUUCGGAAUUGGCGCCGUCCUAAGUUCCUUGGAACAGGACGUCAUAGAGGGUGAGAAUCCCGUGCCUGGAUGGCUGUCCAAUUCCAUGUGAAGUGUCUCCGACGAGUCGAGUUGUUUGGGAAUGCAGCUCAAAAUGGGUGGUAAAUUUCAUCUAAAGCUAAAUAUUGGCGAGAGACCGAUAGCGCACAAGUAGAGUGAUCGAAAGAUGAAAAGCACUUUGAAAAGAGAGUUAAAAAGUACGUGAAAUUGUUGAAAGGGAAGCGCUUGAGACCAGACUCAAUCUUAGGUGAUCAGCCGUGCUUCUGUACGGUGCACUUGCCUUUGAUUGGGCCAGCAUCAGUUCUGACGGUGGGAUAAAAUGCGAAGGAAUGUGGCUCUCUUCGGGGAGUGUUAUAGCCUUUGUAACAAUGCCACCAGUUGGGACUGAGGACCGCGCUUCGGCUAGGAUGCUGGCGUAAUGGUCUUAAGCGACCCGUCUUGAAACACGGACCAAGGAGUCUAACAUCUAUGCGAGUGUUCGGGUGGAAAACCCUUGCGCGUAAUGAAAGUGAACGGAGGUGUGAACCCCUCGGGGUGCAACAUCGACCGAUCCUGAUGUUUUCGGAAGGAUUUGAGUAAGAGCAUAGCUGUUGGGACCCGAAAGAUGGUGAACUAUGCCUGAAUAGGGUGAAGCCAGAGGAAACUCUGGUGGANGCUCGCAGCGGUUCUGACGUGCAAAUCGAUCGUCAAAUUUGGGUAUAGGGGCGAAAGACUAAUCGAACCAUCUAGUA